UAGUCCACGCUGUAAACGAUGGGUACUAGAUGUUGCGGGUAUUGACCCCUGCAGUGUCGUCGCUAACGCAUUAAGUACCCCGCCUGGGAAGUACGGUCGCAAGAUUAAAACUCAAAGGAAUUGACGGGGGGCCCGCACAAGCGGUGGAGCAUGUGGUUUAAUUCGAUGCAACGCGAAAAACCUUACCUGGGUUUGAAAUCCCCGGACCGCUCUAGAGAUAGAGUUUUCUCUUCGGAGACUGGGAGUACAGGUGCUGCAUGGCUGUCGUCAGCUCGUAUCGUGAGAUGUCGGGUUAAGUCCCUUAACGAGCGCAACCCUUGUUCUUAGUUGCCAGCAUUUAGUUGGGCACUCUAAGGGGACUGCCUGUGUUAAGCAGGAGGAAGGUGGGGAUGACGUCAAGUCCUCAUGGCCCUUAUGUCCAGGGCUACACACGUGCUACAAUGGCCGGUACAGAGGGAAGCCAACCCGCGAGGGGGAGCUAAUCUCAGAAAGCGGUCUAGUCGGAUUGAAGUCUGCAACUCGACU
rnacentral:rRNA from 1 species